rnacentral:lncRNA from 1 species
CUGAGACAGCCUAAUCCAGAGAGAAGCACCUCUCUCUCACCUUUUGAAGCUGUGAUUUUCCUCAGCACAUCCUUUCAUCGAGGCCUCGUGUUCCUGAGAGGCUGAAAGCUGCUGCUCUAGUUAUUAGAAAAAGAAAUGUUGCAGUCGAGGAUUUGAAGAGUUGAACCCACUGGAAAGGCUGACUUUUUCAUCCUAUUAAAUCGCUGGAAAGGAACAGCCAAACUGCAGGACGCAGAAAAAGACGGGGCGUCCCGGGGGUGAAUAGUGUCACCUAAGUGAAAUACGGAAGCCACAAGUGACCGAAAAGGAAAGGGGGCUUCAAGCCACAGUUGAUUUAUUUCAGAAUUACAGUCCGACAGGCGGACUGGGUGCCACGUCUGAUCAUACGCUCU